AAACAAGGGAGACGGUGGAAGUAGCAAAGGAGGAUGGUAAGUUGAUCCACAAAUUUGUCAUCUGAUUUGUGUUACUUGGAAGGACUGAAAGUUCAGGGAUCUGUAUAUAUUGGUUUCUUUGCCCUUUUUUUGUUCUUUUUUAAAUGCACUAUUAAGGUGUGAAAACAGUAGUUUCUUGUGGAACCAUGCACAAGUCCUUAAUUUUCCUUCACUUUUUGGACACUGGUACUAAUGAGCAGAGCUCGACUGAGCAUGGAUAAGGGAACACCUGUUUUAUAAUGGCCAGUGCAUGGUUAAUUAAGCUUACUUGCAAGUCAUUUGUAAAAAAAAAAAAUGUUUGUCCUUAGAUAAUUCAGCAUAUUAUGUUUUGGUUUAUCGUUGAUACUAUUAUGGUUCCCUGUAGAUGUUUGUGCAUGACAUUUGAAAUUAGCCGUUUGUGCCACAGUUUUCGGUCAG
rnacentral:misc_RNA from 1 species